rnacentral:rRNA from 1 species
UACGUAGGGUCCGAGCGUUGUCCGGAAUUACUGGGCGUAAAGAGCUCGUAGGUGGUUUGUCGCGUUGUCCGUGAAAACUCACAGCUCAACUGUGGGCGUGCGGGCGAUACGGGCAGACUGGAGUACUGCAGGGGAGACUGGAAUUCCUGGUGUAGCGGUGGAAUGCGCAGAUAUCAGGAGGAACACCGGUGGCGAAGGCGGGUCUCUGGGCCGUUACUGACGCUGAGGAGCGAAAGCGUGGGGAGCGAACAGG